AAAUCAAUCUAUAUAAGCCACAGGUAAAGCAGACACCAGCUACAAAAGUGGAGAACGAAUGCAUCCUGAAGCUACAAGGGCAGCUCUGCCAGCCUAUUUCAAAAAUGCAUACAUACACAAUAGAAAAAUCACAGGGUUUCCAGUGAUGCUUGCUGCAGCCAUGAACUAUUUCCUGUAACUUAGAGGACACCAUGGGAAGCAAAGAUGCAUGAGGACACUCUCCACCUGCUCCAUGCCUGCUGAACAGCUGGAUGCAGUGAAAGGCUUCAAGGGCCCCAACGGGCAACUCCUGGGCACCUUCAGCAUCCUGCCAGGGGAUUCGUGGUCAUCAUGAUGGAAAGGCCUUCUCUUCUGAGUGUGGCCCACUUCAUCAAGUGAAGAAGAGGCACCAGAACAGGACCAUGGAAGAUUUGGGGGACAAGUGGUGUUUCCUUUGACCUAUCUGGUGUAAGGUCAAGAUGCGUAAAGAUAAAUCAGGAUCCAGCAAGGAAACAGCGGACUUUGAAAGAAGAAGGACCAGACUGGCAAUAUACUGCUCUCCUGCCCUGAGGAAAAUCCCAUUAUCCACUUCCAAAUGAAAUUGGCACCAUUGAAUAGGACUAGAUCAGAAAUAAGAAGGGUCCAUAUACUAACUUUGGUAUUUCAGGAGGACCUCCCCACUUCUGCCGGCGGCCCCGGGACACUCGCAUAACCCCCUUCUGCAGCGGGCCCCAGGACAGUCCCGCACCCCCUUCUGCAGCCGGCCCCGGGACAGUCCCGCACCCCCCUUCUGCAGCCGGCCCCGGGACAGUCCCGCACCCCCCUUCUGCAGCCGGCCCCGGGACAGUCCCGCACCCCCCUUCUGCAGCCGGCCCCGGGACAGUCCCGCACCCCCUUCUGCAGCCGGCCCCGGGACAGUCCCGCACCCCCCUUCUGCAGCCGGCCCCGGGACUGUCCCGUACCCCCCUUCUGCAGCCGGCCCCGGGACUGUCCCGUACCCCCCUUCUGCAGCCGGCCCCGGGACUGUCCCGCACCCCCCUUCUGCAGCCGGCCCCGGGACUGUCCCGCACCCCCCUUCUGCAGCCGGCCCCGGGACUGUCCCGCACCCCCCUUCUGCAGCCGGCCCCGGGACUGUCCUGCACCCCCCUUCUGCAGCCAUCCCCAGGAUACUCCUCCACCCCCCUUCUGCAGCCCGAACCAGGACUGUCCUAUAUCCUCCUUCUGCAGCUGGCCCCGUGUCACUCCCACACACCACCUUCAGCCGGCCCCAGGACACUCCCGCACCCCUCCCUUCUACAGCCAGCCCUGGGACACUCCCACACAUCCUCCUGCAGAUGGCUCCCUUCUACACUCCCGCACCCCCCUUCUGCAAUGGCCACAAUUCAGUCCUGCCCCCCCCCCUAUGAUUUUCCUCAGGGUAGGGAUUAAAAUGCUGGCCAAGAAACGAGAACUCCUGCAGAAGUUACUACAGCCAGUAAAGGCAAGGGAAAUGCAGACUCCCAGGAGGAUGGGGCAGCUCUAGAUGGAACAUAUGCAGUCGGUGACCCAGGAGUGGAAAAUGCUGUUGAGAUUAACGCCGUCUUACCCAAGGACCCGCCUCACGGCUGAACCAAGGUUAUAGUCAGUAUCAGUUACUGGCUUUGUAUUUUUGUUUUUGAAUUGCUCCUUUCCUUUCCCCGUAGUUCCCAAUUUGGGUGCAAAGACAUGGUGAACCCAAUUUGGGGAUGGAUCCUCAGAAGUCUUGGAUGUGGGUGUGUCUGGGGAGCAAAGGGGCUAUGCAGAAGGGAUUGGCUGCAUCGAAGUUCCAAUUCUGUGGAGGGCUGGAGAAGACAAGAGUUGGACCAAGCCAGGAUGGGUGGGGAGCUUGGGAGGAGAGUGGGGCAGUGGAGGUGGGGCAGCCCUACUGGACUCCAUGGGACACUGGUGUGCAGCCCUCCUCUAAGCCUUUAAUUUCAUAUAUCUUUAAAAUGUUUCUAUCUUUUAUAUCCAAACUGCUCUUUGUUAAGACACCCCGGGGUGGUGUGCAGCCCAUCGGAUCCCUAGCAGGGAGGAGUGCAUUCUUGUAAUUAAUUUCAGUAGGUCCCAGUUAUUAAUUCCAAAGUGGGGCUUCCCCCCAGUUUCUGGGAAGAUAAAGCACCCCAUCCAGUGACAGCGCAAACACCUUUCCACUGCCGGGCACUUUCCAGAUUACAGUUACAACCGCCGUAAAAUGCUUCAGCCUGGCGGAAUCGAAUUGACAACAUAAUGAAAGGGUGUGGUGCAAGUCCACCAGCAGGGGGAGAAGUCUUUUCUAGUUUGCCCCAGAUGCCCUAAAAUGGAAAACACAGCAAUCUUUUUACAACGUUGCAGGACUGUAACAAAGCCAUAAAAACCAAAAGAAGGCAUUGGAAAUGUGAAUGGCAAAUUGCUGACAGUGCAGGGGCUGCAAUGUCAAUACGUAGGAAACAGGAAAGCACUCUUUGCAGAUCUGUAGUGACAUUUUGGUAAGGGUUAAUCUGGAAAGCGCCCAGGCUGACCUGCGCAACUAACUCCUUGCAGCUGAGCUAGCUUGAGUGAGUCUGAGUGUUUUCUUAUCGGAAGCACACAGCUGAAUCUCCAAACAGAAAUACUACCUGCUGGGCAAAAGAAGGGGAGGGGAAGGGAAGAAGGAAUAAAGACAAUCCCUAGUGCCUCCAACAGCAGCGGGGUUGAUGGGAGUUGUAGCCCAACAACAGCUAAAGUUUGGCCACCCCUGCAAUAAUUAAUAUAGUCUGCUGGUGCAGAACCCAAUGUGUUUAUGAAGAAAACCCAACACAUUUUGGGCAGCAGCUCUUUGGUAGGGGGCUGGAUAAAGACAUCAGCAUGAAACCGAGGGAGUUGAAACUGAGGGUCAUUGAGAAAAUGACUAUUAAGUCGUAGCAGGUGUGCCAAUCUGAAGCUCACGCUUGUUAUCUUUUUCUUCUUUCUCCAUCCUAGCAGCAAAGAAGCCCUUCCCAGAAUCCCUCUUGGCAUUGUUAUUGAGGGCAACCUCAGCCAGGUCAAUACACCUCAACACUGUGACAAAUCUCCCCUCUGGGUGGAUGGAAUUGUGGGCCCUAGACAAGGCAGGAAGAGGUUGAGGAGAGCAAGCCCACACCAGAUUCCCACUCCCUUUAUGGCUAGGUUCCCCAAAGCCUCAGGUCCAUUCAAGGUGUUGGGAUAAGACACCCCACCACCAAAGGUUUCUUCUGUGUGGAAGGUAGGAUAGUUCUCCAUACAGAGGCUUUUUGCCUUCACCUCUGAGGCAAAAAUCACCCCCUUCUUAUCAGGGAGGCAUUGUUGCACCACAAAGCUUCACCCCAGGAGUGAAAGCCACACCUUAGUUCACAGAACCCCUUUCAAACUAGUUUCUAAAGUUGUGGCCUGAGUUUGCAACCCUUUCCGCUGCCCCAUCUCUUGAUUCUGAGCCUGGGUGCAAGACUACACCUUCUCCUAGCACUGCAUGCAGUGUGGCGGGUGCUGGUUUUGCAUCCAUUCCCGGCAAGGUAUAAGAAACAAGCCUGGAAAACACAGUGGACCAUGCUGUGACUGCAUCCUCAGUAGGGCUGUUCCUGGAUCGGCAUGUCUGAACCGGAUGAAUCGUUUUGGUGCCCCUCUAACGAGGCGCUGAAAGGAUUUGAGCACAUCCCUUAUCCUUGGUCCAUAGGGCCAUCCAGGGGGAUGAGGGCAUGCUAAUAAAAGCAACCCCCAACCUCUGCAGGAAGACCUUGGCAUCUGCUCACACACACCCCCGGGCAACAGUGUGGGAUUAGCUGGCUGCCUUUUGGGGCCGAGUAGGAAUUUUUCCCAUCCACCCAGAUUGGCCUGGAGGUGGCUGGUUUUUUGCCUACUCUGCACUGUUGCACUGGAAGGGUUUUUUGAUCUGGCCCAUGUUAGGAGCGGUGCCUUUAAAUAGAGUAGCCCCAUGGUCACCAGCCGCAUGAUGACAGGUCAGAGGAGGGGAUACGGUGCUGCACCCUAGGGGUGGCAGCUGCACUGUGGCUUGGCUACACUGCAUCUUUUUAUUGAAACUAAGUUAAUAAAGUUAUCGCCCUAGUUUUAACCCA